UGAGUUUGAUCCUGGCUCAGAGUGAACGCUAGUGAUAUGCCUAACACAUGCGAGUUUUAAUUUAUAUGAAAAAUUUCAUAUUAAUAGCGUACGGGUGAGUAAUACAUAAGAAUUUACUUCGUAUUUUAGAAAUUAAAAUCUAUAAAGAUUAUAUUGGAUUAAUAUUAAAUAUAAUUUGAAAAUUUAAUUUGGUACGUAAUUAGCUUAUGGAGAAUUAGAUAGUUGGUGAGGUAAAAGCUUACCUAGUCUACAAUUCUUAGCUGGUCUUAGCGGAUGAUCAGCCACAUUGGGACUGAAACAUGGCCCAAGCUCUUUUGGAGGCAGCAGUGAGGAAUAUUGGACAAUGAACGAAAGUUUGAUCCAGCAAUAUCACGUGAAUGAAGAAGGUUUAUUUUAUUGUAAAGUUCUUUCGACGAGGAAGAUAAUGACAUUACUCGUAAAAGAAGUCCCGACUAACCUCGUGCCAGCAGUCGCGGUAAUACGGGGGGGGCAAGCGUUACUCUACGUUACUGGGUGUAAAGAGUAUUAAGGUUGUUUGGUAAGUUUCUUUUUAAAUUUUAAAACUCAAUUUUAGAAACGAAAGUAAAUACUGCUAAACUUUGAGUAUAUUAGAAGAUAGUUGUAUGUUUAGUGUAGAGUUAGAAUUCUUUAAUAUUAAAAAGACAAUCAAUAGGCGAAGGCUACUAUCUAUAAUAUUACUGACACUGAUAUACGAAAGCGUGAGGAGCAAACAGGAUUAGAUACCCUGGUAGUUCACGCUGUGACCGAUGAAUAUCAAUUAAUGGAAUUAUUAUUUCAUUAGUUUAGUUAACGCGUUAAAUAUUCCACCUGGGGACUAUAAUCGCAAGAUUGAAACUCAAAGAAAUUGACUGAGAUUUGUACAAGCGGUGGAGCAUGUGGUUUAAUUCGAUAUAGAUCGAUAAAUCUUACCAAUUUUUGAAAUGUGAAUAAUUUUUAUGUUUUGCAUAAAAAAAAAUUGAAAAAUUUAUUUUUUUUCAAUUUUUAAUUUACACAGGUGUUGCAUGGCUGUCGUCAGUUCGUGUUGUAAAAUGUUUGGUUAAUUGCUUAAACGAACGUAACCCUUUUUCUUUGUUAAAUUUUCAAAGAACAUUGCCAGUGAAAUACUGAGAUGAAAGGGAGGAUGAGGUCAAGUCAGUAUGACCCUUAUAAAUUGGGCCACACACGUGCUACAAAGGUAAAUACAAAAAGACGCAAUUAUGUGAAUAAAAGCAAAUCUUUAAAAUUUAUCUUAGUUCAGAUUAUUCUCUGUAACUCGAGAAUAUGAAGUAGGAAUCGCUAGUAAUCGUAAAUCAUCAAGUUACGGUGAAUACGUUAUCAAAUCUAGUACACACCGCCCGUCACGCCAUGGAAAUUAGUUUAAUUUGAAGUUUUGACUUUUAUUAUAUUUAUAAUAAAUUAUAUUUAGUUUUAUUUUAAAACUAAUGGUUAUUUUAGAUAUUUUAGAAUUUACUACUA
rnacentral:rRNA from 1 species